AGAUAUGAUCCAGAGUACCACGGGACACGUGAAACCCUGUGGGAAGCAGGAGGGACCACCCUCCAAGGCUAAAUACUACCUAGUGACCGAUAGCGUAUAGUACCGUGAGGGAAAGGAGAAAAGAACCCCGGGAGGGGAGUGAAAUAGAACCUGAAACCCUGCACUUACAAGCUGUGGAAGCACAUUUCUUGUGUGACCGCGUACUUUUUGUAGAACGGGCCAACGAGUUACGUUAAGUAGCAAG
rnacentral:rRNA from 1 species